rnacentral:rRNA from 1 species
UACGGAGGGUGCAAGCGUUAUCCGGAUUCACUGGGUUUAAAGGGAGCGUAGGUGGGUUGGUAAGUCAGUGGUGAAAUCUCUGAGCUUAACUCGGAAACUGCCAUUGAUACUAUCACUCUUGAAUACCGUGGAGGUCAGCGGAAUAUGUCAUGUAGCGGUGAAAUGCUUAGAUAUGACAUAGAACACCAAUUGCGAAGGCAGCUGGCUACACGAAUAUUGACACUCAGGCUCGAAAGCGUGGGGAUCAAACAGG